UGUCACAGAGCCCUGCCUUCCUGGAACUCCUGCCUGCCAUGGGAGGCACUGGAUGAAUUCCUUGCUUAGCUUUGCUUGCUUGUGCAGUUUUUACUUUAUCUGUUCAGUUGUGUGGCGCUGCUUUGCCAGCUUAGGUUAAACCUCAGUACCUGGCUGUCAGGGGUUAAAGGGUCAAAGGCAGAGGCUGGAAAAUCAGCAGGCCUCAAGCAGCAAUCCCAAGAUAAGUUUUAUGUCUCCAUGGACUUUGCUGGUUAUUGUCAGCUGGAGACAACAACUGGGCACCAUGGCUGAGAGCACUUUGAACUCUAAUCCCCAUGGCGGAGCAGUCGCAUUCUCUUGUGGGGAUUUCCAUCCUCUCCAAGAUCUUGGCAACACUACAGAGGACUUGCAGGAGCCCCAGAUACAACAGCAGAGCAAGCUGAAUAGCUGGGACCCACUGCUGCUUUCAUCAUGCCCAAAGGAGCUGACAGUCAAAUGGAAGUUCUCCUUAGUUGGACAGUAAUUUGAUUCACAAUUUACAGAACUUGAUGGAACACAGCACCUUAGGCUAUGAGCUUAUCCUUUCUGCUUCUCCAGGCCAGCUUGUGCUUAAUGAAGCAUGCCAGCUGUGAUGAGGUGCUUUAAUUCUGAUUAAGGGCAUCCACACAAGAGCUGAGACACCCCAAUGCCCUUUCACGAUCUGUGAUUAUUUUUAUGAUCUGUGAUCAUUUCCCUGAGCAUCCUCUGACAGAAGACCUGACUCCCAAGACAGUGCGAAUUUGGUUUUCAAUGGAUGCAACCACACAAGUCUCUCCUUUCAUCCCAAGAACCAGAUAAACGUCUCACUCUUCAAAGCUCCUUUGCCUGCAUGGCAAAGCUGGCUGCUCGUAGACAAAUUGUGGCUGAGGAACCUCCUGAGCGAGUUUUUGGCUUUGUUUAACUUAGACUUUGGUGCAUUAAGAGCUUCUCCUUAAGCAAGUCCCUGAGGUUAUCCUGUUCCAAGAGGCGUUAGUGGAGGUGGACUUUUGUCCUCAGGAACAAAGCGCUGGCUAAUCUACAAAGGCACGGUGGAGGCUGAAAUCCUGAGGGAAGCAGGUAGGUGUGAAAACACACCUGGCCACCAGCUUAGACAGGGGGAAAAACAAUAUACCUUUGAUUUUACACAUAACAAGUUGCCAGUUCCAGGGAUUUUUAUUUUUAUUUUUAUUUUGGUUUUGGGUUUUUGGGGUUUUUUUUUGUUUUUUGUCGGAUUUCUCACUCCUCCAAAUCGCGUUUCUGUGAUGCCAGGAGGAACAUGAUAGGAAAGCUACUUCCAAAUUGCUGUGUAGGGAAGCCCAGGCAGGGUUCAUCAAUUUAGAGGCAUAAUUUGCAUGUUUAUAUAUACCCUCUGCUGCCUUCAGCCUCAGGGUCCCAGUGCCUGCUUCACAAAUAAACUGAGGGGAACCUGGGAUGUUGAGGCACAGAAAACUCUCAUUCUGUAUUCAAGAACAGGGAAGAAAAAAAGGGGAUUUAAAACAAGAGUGAAGCAAAAACUUCAAGGUGUGGCCCAGACCAAAGGCCAGGAGUCAGCAGUGAAUGGCUGCAGUGAUGUGGGUCUGGGACAAGAACGUGUCAGCUGGAAAUUUGGGAGGUAUCCACAAAUCCCAUCACUUGAACCAUCAGGUAGCCACUCACCAGUGAAGUUUUCUUCACUGCUAAGAAUAAUUUUGUUAAAAUGAUUGUUCUUUGUUAAGAUGAGCAGUGAUUAGCAACAAAUUAGAAGCAAAGGGCUGUGUUCUUCCUUCCCCAUUCCCUGGAUGUGUUGUCUUUCACAGCAUCUUUAAUCUGCUACAGCUACACCAGAAAAUAAUCAAAAUUACCAAUAUUAAUAUUCCAGUUCCAUCUAUGCAAAGCAUGGGAAUCAAUAUUUUAAUGCAGAUGAAUUCCUAAUUUAAUUACACCGUAAAAAGUGUAAAAGAAAACUUCCUCAAAGUUUGGUUUUAUAGUCAUUAAUUUGCAGGUCUUUGGGGAUAAUGGCAGCAGCAUUUGGGGACCAGGAGAGUUUUAAGAAAAUAAAGAAAAUGUGGCCAGCCCCCCACCUGGUUUGUGGAUGGUUUCUUCUAGUUGAAUUCUCAAGGACUCCAAGCAAAUCAAUGUCAAAUUCACUGCAGAAGUUUAUUAUCUCUCAGAAAUUCAGGUAACACGAGUAGAAAUCGCACAACAGCAUGAACAUUCUGAAGGAGCUGUCUGUGGCUUAUUUUUAAUUUUUUUUUUUUUUUUGUCUAUUUAUAUAUAUAUGUGUCAAUCUGUCUCCUUCACUUUGUGGGGAAAAUAAGAAGCAGAGAGAGAGAGAGUGAAGUCAUGGCUUGGUGUCAUCAUUACCCUGGACUUGCUGGUUGUUGUGUGUCUGACAGAAACACAGAAAUGUGAGCAAUAAUCAAUUCCUGCAUUUUCUGUGAUGAACCACAGGGCCUUCUCUUUUUAAGGGAUUUAUAAUACAAGUUAAAAUUUGAGUACCAUUUCCUUCAAAGUAGUGAAAAGUGAUUUGAGAUAAUUAAAUAUUAGAAAAAGGACAGGACUAUAUUGGCCUAUUAACAACUGGAGACUGGAUAAAAAAUUUAGAGUGAGAAUAAGCCACUAUAAAAAUCAUAGUGGUGGGAUUCUUGGGGGUGUCCUGGUGCAGAGCCAGGCGUCAGGACUUUGUGAUUCCCUCUCGGCCCAGGAUGUUCUAUGAUUCAAUGAUACCCAGGUUUAAAGGUUAACAAUCCAGGUUUAAAGGUUAAAAACCCUUAAGCACGAUGUUUAAUUUCGCUAAAGAAAAAUUAAUGUGCAUGAUGCAGUCACAUACAAACCAAUAAUUCACAGAAGACUGGUAUUAGACUAUAGUUAGUUACAUAUUUAUAUACAUUU